GGGGGGGGGUGUUCUGUGUAGUAUACUGUGAUCUGUAAUCUUUAUGUUGGGAAGUGUGGCUGAUACUUUAGUGCCAAAUUGUUGUAUCAUUGUGCUUCUGUAGUGCUCAGGGCAGCAUAGGUGCUUUUAUCUUCUCUUGAAGUAGUUUAUGUUUCCUAGGCAUUUGUAGGUAAGAUGAAAUCAAAGGAAAGAAGUAAAGCUAUUCAUAAUACAAAAGUGUAUAUCAAAAUAUGAUGCAAAACAUUAGUUAUUUCUAUGCAAUUUAUCAAUUAAAAGUUUUCUAUGCUAGAUAAUAUUUACUUUUUUCAUCUAUUUGAAUCAAAUUACUGCAUUACCCCUAAUUCGUGGAUCAGUGAAGAGUAUUGUAAAUGUCCUUUUUUGUUUACUGUAGUAGUGUCUGAAGAAUCUGUUCUCCGAGACACAUCAAAGAUUCAGAAAAAGGAAGGUCAGGGAAAAUGGGUUGAUGAGGAAUGAUUCACUGUGAAUACAUGGUGUUAUGUUAGUGUCAUAUCAUUGAAAAAUCCAAAGAUUGGUUGUACAUGAAUUAUUUGUACUUUUAUCAUUGUUAAUAUGCUAUAUCUUUAUAAAAUGUUUUUUGUUCAAAUGUAUUUCUUCAUAUUUCAGGAAAUUGAUCAAUUCCAUCAUUCCAUUUGUAUACUAAUGUCUUAUUGUUGCUAAUUAAUGCUUGUCGGUGAAAUUUUGUAAUUCAAUCUAUUCAAAACAAGUCAUCAGUGAAAGGUGUUCUCUUAUUGUACAAGAGGAUUAUUUACAUUGAGUACAUAAAAUUACACCCUAGUAAAAUAUUGGCUCAAUGAAUAAUUUUGAUAACAAAAGGAGAAGAAAGUUGGUAAUUUGAAAUUGACUUCUCCAAAUUGUCAUUGGAUUGAACAGAUUGAAUAUGGUUGUCAACAUCUGGUGCUAUAUUUCAGUAGAGCAUUCAAAGUGAGGAUUUCAUGUCCAUACUGUACAGAGUCGUUUUUCUAUGUCUCAUGAAUAUCUGUGGUUUGACAAACUGUGAUCAUUUUUACAUACAACUGUUUCUUUAACUGUGAAAGUGUGCAUAUAUUUGAAAAUGUGAUCAAAAUGUGAAUUCCAUGGUAGUUAAUGCAUGUUUGAAAUCAUUCUACAUUGUCAAGGCAUCUAUACCUGUGUUACAGCUAAACAUCUUAUAUAUUCUGUUUAUGUUUGUUUGGUACUUAGUAAACCAAUGAAAUAUGCUGUAACAUAUCUGUUACCAUUAGUGAGCCAAUGGGAGAUGUUGUAACAUUAAUAUUAGGUCUGUGAUUAUUGGUGAGCCAAUGAAAGGUGUUUUAACAUUUGGUGUGUGAUCAUUGUAACAUUCUCCUUUGGAAUAUUUGUCUUCUACCAUCAAAACAAUAUAGUGUUGAUAUUGUAAUACUUUUCUUAUUUCAUAAUCGCUAUGAUUUUUGUAACCUUUCUGUUGGUUUUAACAUAUUAUAUUAUUAAUAUGAUAAUUAAAAUCACUCCAUGCCAUGUGUUCAAAUCAGGGUACCCAUAGGUUCCUGAUGCAUAAGAAGGGUAAAUAUGUCUAUAUGUAGUACAGAUUACUUACCUAUCUUAUGUGCCAGGAACCUAGUGGGUGCCAUUGUAUCUGUAAAGCCCGUUUUCAGUGUCUAGAUCUGUAGCUGUGAUGUUGACACACUGAAGUGUCUAUGUCUGUAGCUGUGAUGUUGACACACUGAAGUGUCUAUGUCUGUAGCUGUGAUGUUGACACACUGAAGUGUCUAUAUCUGUAGCUGUGAUGUUGACACACUGAAGUGUCUAUAUCUGUAGCUGUGAUGUUGACACACUGAAGUGUCUAUAUCUGUAGCUGUGAUGUUGACACACUGAAGUGUCUAUGUCUGUAGCUGUGAUGUUGACACACUGAGUGUAUGUCUGUAGCUGUGAUGUUGACACACUGAAGUGUCUAUGUCUGUAGCUGUGAUGUUGACACACUGAAGUGUCUAUGUCUGUAGCUGUGAUGUUGACACACUGAAGUGUCUAUGUCUGUAGCUGUGAUGUUGACACACUGAAGUGUCUAUGUCUGUAGCUGUGAUGUUGACACACUGAAGUGUCUAUGUCUGUAGCUGUGAUGUUGACACACUGAAGUGUCUAUGUCUGUAGCUGUGAUGUUGACACACUGAAGUGUCUAUGUCUGUAGCUGUGAUGUUGACACACUGAAGUGUCUAUGUCUGUAGCUGUGAUGUUGACACACUGAAGUGUCUAUGUCUGUAGCUGUGAUGUUGACACACUGAAGUGUCUUCGUCUGUAGCUAUGAUGUUGACACACUGAAGUGUCUAUGUCUGUAGCUGUGAUGUUGACACACUGUUUGUCUGUAGCUGUGAUGUUGACACACUGUUUGUCUGUAGCUGUGAUGUUGACACACUGUUUGUCUGUAGCUGUGAUGUUGACACACUGUUUGUCUGUAGCUGUGAUGUUGACACACUGAAGUGUCUUUGUCUGUAGCUAUGAUGUUGACACACUGAAGUGUCUGUCUGUAGCUGUGAUGUUGACACACUGUUUGUCUGUAGCUGUGAUGUUUACCUGUGAUGCUGAUGUUCUUCUCUUUGAAAUGUUCAUAGGUUGUUCAGAUAACACUCUCAGUUGUGAUAAUCUAGUCUUUGUUUACUUCAUUCACCAUGUCAAUGUAUUGUCCCCAUUUAAACCCAGUUUUAUUUAUUUACAAAUACCAGGUAGUCAGAUGAUACCUUUUUAAUUUUCCUUGGUAAAAAUAAUUGUUGUUUUUAAGUUUCUUUUAUUUAUAAAACAUGUUGAGCCAAAUACAUUUGUUGGUAUGAUGUAUGUAUAUGCAUUUUACAAGAAGUAUUUCACAAAUACAGUAUUGUUAUAAAUAAGAUGUGUGCGUGUAUGUUCAAGUGUAUCUAAUUGAUGCUCUUUAUAUAAUUAUAGAGUUUAUAUUUUCAAAAUUUAUUUCUAUAUAAUGCAUCACAUUGUCCAGUUAUUUUAAGCACAGUUGUAUCAUUAAUUGGUGGUUGAUUUGUCUGCUGUAAUGAAUAUAUAGAUAAAACAUCAA